UAGUACUCAUAAGGUAGUACUCAUAAAGUAGUACUCAUAAAGUAGUACUCAUAAGGUAGUACUCAUAAGGUAGUACUCAUAAAGUAGUACUCAUAAGGUAGUACUCAUAAAGUAGUACUCAUAAGGUAGUACUCAUAAAGUAGUACUCAUAAAGUAGUACUCAUGAGGUAGUACUCAUAAAGUAGUACUCAUAAAGUAGUACUCAUAAGGUAGUACUCAUAAGGUAGCACUCAUAAGGUAGUACUCAUAAGGUAGUACUCAUAAAGUAGUACUCAUAAGGUAGUACUCAUAAAGUAGUACUCAUAAGGUAGUACUCAUAAAGUAGUACUCAUAAAGUAGUACUCAUGAGGUAGUACUCAUAAAGUAGUACUCAUAAAGUAGUACUCAUAAGGUAGUACUCAUAAGGUAGCACUCAUAAGGUAGUACUCAUAAGGUAGUACUCAUAAAGUAGUACUCAUAAAGUAGUACUCAUAAGGUCGCACUCAUAAGGUAGUACUCAUAAAGUAGUACUCAUAAGGUAGUACUCAUAAAGUAGUACUCAUAAAGUAGUACUCAUGAGGUAGUACUCAUAAAGUAGUACUCAUAAGGUAGUACUCAUAAAGUAGUACUCAUAAGGUAGUACUCAUAAAGUAGUACUCAUAAAGUAGUACUCAAAGUAGUACUCAUAAAGUAGUACUCAUAAGGUAGUACUCAUAAAGUAGUACUCAUAAGGUAGUACUCAUAAAGUAGUACUCAUAAGGUAGUACUCAUAAGGUAGUACUCAUAAAGUAGUACUCAUAAGGUAGUACUCAUACAGUAGUACUCAUAAAGUAGUACUCAUAAGGUAGUACUCAUAAGGUAGUACUCAUAAAGUAGUACUCAUAAGGUAGUACUCAUAAGGUAGUACUCAUACAGUAGUACUCAUAAGGUAGUAUUGAUGAAGUAGUACUCAUAAGGUAGUACUCAUAAAGUAGUGCUCAUAAAGUAGUGCUCAUAAAGUAGUACUCAUAAAGUAGUACUCAUACAGUAGUACUCAUACAGUAGUACUCAUAAGGUAGUACUCAUACAGUAGUACUCAUAAGGUAGUCCUCAUAAAGUAGUACUCAUACAGUAGUACUCAUACAGUAGUACUCAUAAGGUAGUACUCAUAAAGUCGUACUCAUAAGGUAGUACUCAUACAGUAGUACUCAUAAGGUAGUCCUCAUAAAGUAGUACUCAUAAAGUAGUCCUCAUAAAGUAGUACUCAUAAAGUAGUACUCAUAAGGUAGUCCUCAUAAAGUAGUACUCAUAAAGUCGUACUCAUAAGGUAGUACUCAUAAGGUAGUACUCAUAAAGUAGUACUCAUAAGGUAGUACUCAUAAGGUAGUACUCAUAAAGUAGUACUCAUAAAGUAGUACUCAUAAGGUAGUACUCAUAAGGUAGUACUCAUACAGUAGUACUCAUAAAGUAGUACUCAUAAGGUAGUACUCAUAAGGUAGUACUCAUAAAGUAGUACUCAUAAGGUAGUACUCAUAAGGUAGUACUCAUACAGUAGUACUCAUAAAGUAGUACUCAUAAGGUAGUACUCAUAAGGUAGUACUCAUAAAGUAGUACUCAUACAGUAGUACUCAUAAGAUAGUAUUGAUGAAGUAGUACUCAUAAGGUAGUACUCAUAAAGUAGUGCUCAUAAAGUAGUGCUCAUAAAGUAGUACUCAUAAAGUAGUACUCAUACAGUAGUACUCAUAAGGUAGUCCUCAUAAAGUAGUACUCAUAAAGUAGUACUCAUAAGGUAGUACUCAUAAAGUAGUACUCAUACAGUAGUACUCAUAAGGUAGUACUCAUACAGUAGUACUCAUAAAGUAGUACUCAUAAGGUAGUACUCAUAAGGUAGUACUCAUAAAGUAGUACUCAUAAGGUAGUAGUCAUAAAGUAGUACUCAUACAGUAGUACUCAUAAGGUAGUAUUGAUAAAGUAGUACUCAUAAGGUAGUACUCAUAAAGUCGUACUCAUAAGGUAGUACUCAUAAAGUAGUACUCAUAAAGUAGUACUCAUAAAGUCGUACUCAUAAGGUAGUACUCAUAAAGUAGUACUCAUACAGUAGUACUCAUAAGGUAGUACUCAUAAAGUAGUACUCAUAAGGUAGUAGUCAUAAAGUAGUAUUCAUACAGUAGUACUCAUAAGGUAGUAUUGAUGAAGUAGUACUCAUAAAGUCGUACUCAUAAGGUAGUACUCAUAAAGUAGUACUCAUAAAGUAGUACUCAUAAAGUCGUACUCAUAAGGUCGUACUCAUAAAGUAGUACUCAUACAGUAGUACUCAUAAGGUAGUACUCAUAAGGUAGUCCUCAUAAAGUAGUACUCAUAAAGUAGUACUCAUAAGGUAGUACUCAUAAAGUCGUACUCAUAAAGUAGUACUCAUAAAGUCGUACUCAUAAGGUAGUACUCAUACAGUAGUACUCAUAAAGUAGUACUCAUAAGGUAGUACUCAUAAGGUAGUACUCAUAAAGUAGUACUCAUAAGGUAGUACUCAUAAGGUAGUACUCAUAAAGUAGUACUCAUAAAGUAGUACUCAUAAGGUACUACUCAUAAGGUAGUACUCAUACAGUAGUACUCAUAAAGUAGUACUCAUAAGGUAGUACUCAUAAGGUAGUACUCAUAAAGUAGUACUCAUAAGGUAGUACUCAUAAGGUAGUACUCAUAAAGUAGUACUCAUAAGGUAGUACUCAUAAGGUAGUACUCAUAAAGUAGUACUCAUAAAGUAGUACUCAUAAGGUAGUACUCAUAAGGUAGUACUCAAAGUAGUACUCAUACAGUAGUACUCAUAAGGUAGUAUUGAUGAAGUAGUACUCAUAAGGUAGUACUCAUAAAGUAGUGCUCAUAAAGUAGUGCUCAUAAAGUAGUACUCAUAAAGUAGUACUCAUACAGUAGUACUCAUAAGGUAGUACUCAUACAGUAGUACUCAUAAAGUAGUACUCAUAAGGUAGUACUCAUAAGGUAGUACUCAUAAAGUAGUACUCAUAAGGUAGUCCUCAUAAAGUAGUACUCAUAAAGUCGUACUCAUAAGGUAGUACUCAUACAGUAGUACUCAUAAAGUAGUACUCAUAAGGUAGUACUCAUAAAGUAGUACUCAUACAGUAGUACUCAUAAGGUAGUACUCAUACAGUAGUACUCAUAAAGUAGUACUCAUAAGGUAGUACUCAUAAGGUAGUACUCAUAAAGUAGUACUCAUAAGGUAGUAGUCAUAAAGUAGUACUCAUACAGUAGUACUCAUAAGGUAGUAUUGAUGAAGUAGUACUCAUAAGGUAGUGCUCAUAAAGUAGUACUCAUACAGUAGUACUCAUAAGGUAGUACUCAUAAGGUAGUCCUCAUAAAGUAGUACUCAUAAAGUAGUACUCAUAAGGUAGUCCUCAUAAAGUAGUACUCAUAAAGUCGUACUCAUAAGGUAGUCCUCAUAAAGUAGUACUCAUAAAGUCGUACUCAUAAGGUAGUACUCAUAAAGUAGUACUCAUAAAGUAGUACUCAUAAGGUAGUACUCAUAAAGUAGUACUGAUAAGGUAGUACUCAUAAAGUAGUACUCAUGAGGUAGUACUCAAAGUAGUACUCAUAAAGUAGUACUCAUAAGGUAGUACUCAUAAGGUAGUAUUGAUGAAGUAGUACUCAUAAGGUAGUACUCAUAAAGUCGUGCUCAUAAAGUAGUACUCAUAAGGUUGUCCUCAUAAAGUCGUACUCAUAAGGUAGUACUCAUGAAAUAGUACUGAUGCUGCUACCUGAGCCUUCAUUAGGAUGUCCAGAUGUUUUUAUUGUGUUUAAUUCAGGCUGAUUUUAUUCCAGUUUAUUCCCACACUGACUAUAAAGGAGUAAAUAUUUACAGAAACACACAGAUGUAGUACUGAGAGCUGAACAGUAGGGGGCAGCAGCAUGACAGAUUACUGCUCUAUGUGUGUGUUGUAUGUGUAUGUUUGAAUAUUGUGUGUGUUACAGGGCUGUAGGUUGUGUAUAUUGUUUAUAUAUUGUGUAUUUAUUGGUACAGGGCUGUAGGUUGUGUAUAUUGUGUAUAUAUUGUGUAUUUAUUGUG